AUUGAACGCUGGCGGCAGGCUUAACACAUGCAAGUCGAGCGGGGUGAUGGUGCUUGCACUAUCACUUAGCGGCGGACGGGUGAGUAAUGCUUAGGAAUCUGCCUAUUAGUGGGGGACAACAUCUCGAAAGGGAUGCUAAUACCGCAUACGUCCUACGGGAGAAAGCAGGGGAUCACUUGUGACCUUGCGCUAAUAGAUGAGCCUAAGUCGGAGUAGCUAGUUGGUGGGGUAAAGGCCUACCAAGGCGACGAUCUGUAGCGGGUCUGAGAGGAUGAUCCGCCACACUGGGACUGAGACACGGCGCAGACUCCUACGGGAGGCAGCAGUGGGGAAUAUUGGACAAUGGGGGGAACCCCGAUCCAGCCAGGCCGCGUGUGUGAAGAAGGCCUUAUGGUUGUAAAGCACUUUAAGCGAGGAGGAGGCUCUUUUGGUUAAUACCCAAGAUGAGUGGACGUUACUCGCAGAAUAAGCACCGGCUAACUCUGUGCCAGCCGCCGCGGUAA
rnacentral:rRNA from 1 species